rnacentral:rRNA from 1 species
UACGUAGGGACCGAGCGUUUGUCCGGAAUCAUUGGGCGUAAAGAGCGUGUAGGCGGCCACUUAAGUCCUGCGUGAAAUCUUGCGGCUCAACCGCAAGCGGUCGUGGGAAACUGGGUGGCUAGAGUGCGGGAGAGGAGAGUGGAAUUCCUGGUGUAGCGGUGGAAUGCGCAGAUAUCAGGAGGAACACCGGUGGCGAAGGCGGGUCUCUGGGCCGAUACUGACGCUGAGGAGCGAAAGCGUGGGGAGCGAACAGG